CUUUCUCUCCCUCUGUCCCAAAUUUCUUGUCUUAGAUUUGUCUAGAUACGAAUGUAUCUAAUACUAAAAUGUGACUUCAUACAUCCGUAUCUUGACAAAUCUAAGACAAGAAUUUUGGGACGGAGGGAGUACUUU
rnacentral:pre_miRNA from 1 species